CGCUGUCCCGGGAGACGAUGGGGCGUAUACCCAAUACGUAUGCGCUUUGACGGUAUCCCGGAAGAAAGCACCGGCUAACUACGUGCCAGCAGCCGCGGUAAUACGUAGGGUGCAAGCGUUGCCCGGAUUCACUGGGCGUAAAGGGUGCGUAGGCGGAUUGGUAAGUCUGCUGUGAAAUCUCCGGGCUCAACCCGGAAACUGCGGUCGAUACUGCCGGUCUAGAGGACAGAAGAGGAGAGCGGAACUCCUGGUGUAGCGGUAAAAUGCGUGGAUAUCAGGAGGAAGGCCGAUGGCGAAGGCAGCUCUCUGGGAUGUUCCUGACGCUGAUGUACGAAAGCUAGGGUAGCAAACCGGAUUAGAUACCCGGGUAGUCCUAGCCCUAAACGAUGUACACUAGGUAUUGGCAUCAGUCAGUGCCGGAGCUAACGCAUUAAGUGUACCGCCUGGGGACUACGGCCGCAAGGCUAAAACUCAAAGGAAUUGACGGGGCCCCGCACAAGCGGUGGAUGAUGCGGUUUAAUUCGUUGCUACGCGAAGAACCUUACCUGGGCUUGACAUGUACGUGGUACGGAUCCGAAAGGUGAAGGACCGGGGUUUUCCCCGGAGCGUACACAGGUGCUGCACGGCUGUCGUCAGCUCGUGCCGUGAGGUGUUGGGUUAAGUCCCGCAACGAGCGCAACCCCUGCCGAUAGUUGCCAUCAGGUUAUGCUGGGCACUCUAUCGGGACUGCCCGGGUCAACCGGGAGGAAGGUGGGGACGACGUCAAGUCAUCGUGGCCUUUAUGCCCAGGGCUACACGCGUCAUACAGUGGCCGUUACAGAGGGUUGCCACACUGCGAAGUGGAGCUAAUCCCGUAAAAGCGGCCAUGGUUCGGAUUGCAGGCUGCAACUCGCCUGCAUGAAGGUGGAAUCGCUAGUAAUCGCAGAUCAGCAAUGCUGUGGUGAAUGCGUUCUCGGGGCUUGUACACACCGCCCGUCACGCCAUGGAAGUCGUGGGUGCCCGAAGACGCGGAGUCUAACCUCGUGAGGACCUGUGUUGAGGGUGAACUCGGUAACUGGGGCG
rnacentral:rRNA from 1 species